rnacentral:tRNA from 1 species
ACUUUCUUAGUAUUAAAAGUAUACGUGACUUCCAAUCACUAGGCCUCAGUUAAACCCUGAGAGAGAGUA